GAUUAACGCUAGCGGCAGGCCUAAUACAUGCAAGUUGUACGGGAUUAUUGGUAGCAAUACUGAUAUGAGAGUAGCGCACGGGUGCGUAACACGUAUGCAACCUACCUUUAACUGGGGAAUAGCUCACCGAAAGGUGAAUUAACACCGCAUAAAAUCACAGAAGGACAUCCUUUAAUGAUUAAAUCUCCGGAGGUUAAAGAUGGGCAUGCGUCCGAUUAGCUAGUGGCGGGGUAAUAGCCCACCAAGGCAACGAUCGGUAGGGGUCUGAGAGGAUGAUCCCCCACACUGGUACUGAGACACGGACCAGACUCCUACGGGAGGCAGCAGUAAGGAAUAUUGGACAAUGGGGGCAACCCUGAUCCAGCCAUGCCGCGUGAAGGAU
rnacentral:rRNA from 1 species